UAACUCCGUGCCAGCAGCCGCGGUAAUACGGAGGGUGCGAGCGUUAAUCGGAAUCACUGGGCGUAAAGCGCAUGCAGGCGGUUUGCUAAGCGAGAUGUGAAAGCCCCGGGCUUAACCUGGGAACUGCAUUUCGAACUGGCGAACUAGAGUCUUGUAGAGGGGGGUAGAAUUUCAGGUGUAGCGGUGAAAUGCGUAGAGAUCUGAGGGAAUACCAGUGGCGAAGGCGGCCCCCUGGACAAAGACUGACGCUCAGAUGCGAAAGCGUGGGGAGCAAACAGGAUUAGAUACCCUGGUAGUCCACGCCGUAAACGAUGUCAACUA
rnacentral:rRNA from 1 species